UUUGCUUCCGCCUUUGACAGAACUCGAUUAUCCCACCUUUUCUGGCUGUUCAAAUCUAUCUGCAUAUUGAUGAAACCGCCAUUAAAAAGUGCGCUUAAGCGUGGCAAUAGUUUGGCGACGAACAGCAUGGCCCCGAAUGAUUGCUUGAAGCCUCACUAGUCCUUUCAAUGCUCGCAACGCUUUUCUUGCCUGCAAAAAUGGCACAUUAAUCUGAGUGGAAAUUAAGCCUAGGAAGCUAUGGUUUCUGUAUAAACUUGUUAGUCAUCUGAAUUGUCCUUUCUUGAGCUUUUUCUUUGCCAUUCUUGCAGAAUUCUGGCUAGCUGGUAAUAGUUUGAACUUGGAUUCUAAAUUCCCUUCAAGUUUUUGUGCUUUUUCCCUUGUUUCUAUGCCAUUUAAGGCAACUUAAAGUGACUCUUUGUGCUUCAGUAGGUUGAGAAAGUAGCUAUGAACAGAUACUACAUUGUAACAGAGUCAGUUGUACUCAAGAAAAGUGACAAGAAGUGGAUGAAAAUAUGAAAUGUGUUCUGAAACAAGAAGAGCAAAUGAACAACUUACAAGAUAACCGCGAAAAGCUGUCUGAAUUUUGAUGGAAGCAAGGGCUGAGAAACAUAGCAAGGCUCCCCCCCGGGCACGAAAGGCACAGAAUCUGCAGCAUUUGUUGCAGCAGAAGCUAUAACCAUGGUGGCAUGGUUUCCCAGUUCUUCCUCUCUGCAGGCUUCAUGUUCAUCUUUUGGGUGUGGUGGAGCUGAGAACAAGGCCAACCAUUUGAUUCUCAGCCUCCCAAUUGGCCUCUUUCGCUUCGCCUGCCGACAAAACAAGGUACAAUAACAAUAAGCCUUUUCAGAACACUGCACCAGCUCUUCUUCUUUGCCAUGGCUUUCACUACUACUUAGAAAAACACUGA